rnacentral:rRNA from 1 species
GGAAUCUUCCACAAUGGACGCAAGUCUGAUGGAGCAACGCCGCGUGAGUGAAGAAGGUCUUCGGAUCGUAAAACUCUGUUGUUAGAGAACGAACACGAGUGAGAGUAACUGUUCAUUCGAUGACGGUAUCUAACCAGCAAGUCACGGCUAACUACGUGCCAG